UCCAGUCAGGGAUCCAGGGACACCUC
rnacentral:piRNA from 1 species